UCUAUGGGUGGCAUGCUGGCGACGCGGUUGGCGUUGAUGUCCCCGGAGCGAGUGCAGAAAUUGAUCUUGGUCAAUCCCAUUGGUC
rnacentral:tRNA from 1 species